rnacentral:rRNA from 1 species
CCUACGGUGGCAGCAGUGGGGAAUAUUGCGCAAUGGGCGAAAGCCUGACGCAGCGACGCCGCGUGAGGGAUGAAGGUCUUCGGAUCGUAAACCUCUGUCAGCAGGGAAGAACGGUCACUGUGCUAAUCAGCAGUGAAUUGACGGUACCUGCAAAGGAAGCACCGGCUAACUCCGUGCCAGCAGCCGCGGUAAUAGGGAGGGUGCGAGCGUUGAUCGGAAUUACUGGGAGGAAAGCGUUCGUAGGCGGGAUGGCAAGUCAAGGGGGAAAACCCCGCGCUCAACGUUGGAACUGCCUUUGAAACUGGCAAACUGGAGUGUGUUAGAGGAUAGUGGAAUUCCCGGUGUAGGCUUCAAAUCCGUACAUAUC